CCUACGGGAGGCAGCAGUGGGGAAGAGUGCACAAUGGGGGAAACCCUGAUGCAGCGACGCCGCGUGAGUGAAGAAGUAAUUCGUUAUGUAAAGCUCUAUCAGCAGGGAAGAAAAGGACGGUACCUGAGUAAGAAGCCCCGGCUAACGACGUGCCAGCAGCCGCGGUAAUACGUAGGGGGCAAGCGUUAUCCGGAUUUACUGGGUGUAAAGGGAGCGUAGACGGCAGUGCAAGUCUGGAGUGAAAGGCGGGGGCUCACCCCCCGGACGGCUCUGGAAACUGUACGGCUGGAGUGCAGGAGAGGUAAGUGGUAUUCCUAGUGUCGCUGUUACAUGCGUCGAUAUUAGGCG
rnacentral:rRNA from 1 species